GGAGGCGGGGUCGCAGAGGGAAGAGAGCGGAUUGGAGCCGGGUCACCUGACCAGGCCUUGAAGUGCGUCCGCGCCAUUUUUGGUACUGGUGCCGUAGCCACGCCUCACUCUUUCUCCAGGAUUCCGGAAAAUAACGUCUCCGCAGUGCCUACAGGCUUUCCUGUUAAGGGGCCGUCUGAUUAGUGCUCGUCUCCACCAAGGUUUACCCCCCUCAUCUGGUAACCCACCAGGAAGUAUCCACCCCCCUCCCACGCACUAGCUUGGCCUUCUUUGUCCCACUGAUUGAAGGUAACAAUAUCCCGUGUUCCGCCAGUCCUUCCUGAGAAACAGGGGAGCGUUCUGAUUGGCCCUGACGUUACUUUUCUACCUAUUCUUGGAGUGAAUUCUGGCUCUGACAGAAGUUGUUGACAUUAUCCUUUUUGGGGCAGGCACCUGAAAGUCAGUUUUACUCUAAAACUCAAAAAAAGUUCUGGCCUUGAACUCAAGGAUCUACGUCGUGAGUGCUGGGAUUAAAGUUGGGUUCAUCACAGAAUUAGGAAGAGUUAUCCUUCAGUAAAAGGUAAGAUUCAAAGCUACUUAUGUAAUUUAAAUUUCAGUCCUCCUAUCCUCACGGUGGCCCUGAUCCUCAUUUCCUGAAAUUCUACCAGUUGAGACUAAGGGUUUAGAUAAUAAACCUUGAUCUGUGAAGCUAUGCCUUGUGGUACUUCCAACAAGUAUGCUGCAAGCCAGGCAUGGUAAACCCAAACCUAUUAUCACCUACUUAAAGAAACCAGGACAAAAGAAUGACAAGUGUAUGACCUACAAUGGCUACAAAGUUUAACAUCAGCCCUGGCACUUAGCAAUACUGUCUAAUGUGGUCUACAAAGUAACACCAGCCUGGGCAUUUAGCAACACUGUCAAAAAUAAAAAGUAAAAAGAAGUUUGGGGAUAUAGCUCAAUGGUUGAAUGCUUGCCUAUUAAGUGUGAGCUCUUAGGUCCAAUCCCAAGCAUAAGAAAAGUAGCUUUGGAUGAAGAUAACUUUGGAUGAGACAAUAUUUUGUAGUUUAAAUGAAAUGAUUCUUCCAAAGAAUGGCUCCAAUAUUCCCAGGGUGAAGCAAGCAAAGAGUCUGUGAACAUAUGUUGUGUAGUGUGCACUACUUUCUCUUUAAUAAUUCAGAUACCCAUAAUCUGUCAACAUUUGGUGAAAAGAUACCAAAGAAUACCUUGUUAAUUAAUUAAGUUCAUGAUCGGAUUUCAGGCAUUCAGACCAGUCUGAACAAUUUGCUGAAUAUUCUCCAGCCUUUACUCAGAUGAGUUAUUUUUGUUAUGGGGAUUUUAUUUUUGCUUCUUAUUGUGGCAAGUAAAAACAUGAAUUUGGGUCAAGCAAGAUUUUCUAGUACACUUCUAGAGAUCUCUUUUUAGCUAAGUUAGUAGAAACUGCAAUGUGAAGUAGUAAAACAGGUCUGAGUUUCUUGCCCUAUGUCAAUAUAAAACAGAGCGCCGUGACCAGGCCCCUUCCUGUUAUUACAGUGUCUUUAUUCUCACCAGGCAUUUUUAAAAUACCAAGCUGUCUACAGCAACAGUAAUUUAGUGGGUUCGUGUUAAUAUAUUCAUGAAGGGUCUUGAUGGAUUUGAUAACCAUAAGCAGCUGUUAACAUUAAAUUGCCAUUUAAUUUUUUUCAGUGACUUUCAAAGUUGUCAAUAUUAAACAGUAGGGCCUUACAAAUUACUACUCUAAGGCCAAUAAGAAUAAAAUCAAAUAUUAUUUUAAAAUCUCAACCAAGUUUUCUUUUUCUCUACAGUAUGCCACUACAGAGAAAACAGAAACACAUGGAGGCAUGUUGAUCUUGGCUAUUAGGCACCCCAUUAUGUAUUUACUCAUAAUUUGCUUUGGAUGUCACUAUACUCAGAAACUCAUAUUUUCCUCUCGCACCCAUUUAACUUUGUUUAUUUUUUGAAUAAGGUCAUUAUACAAUCCAGGCCUAUCUUGAAUUUGCUGAUACUGGUAUUUUAGGUAUGCACAACCAUACCUGGCCAUCUCCAUUUAAUUUUUGAACUCCACCCUUUGCCCCGCCUCCCUUCCAUCACUUCUGUGCCAUUCCCUUUUAGGACACAAGUUUCAUUCUCAGCAACAUGAUUGCAAGACACUCUUACAUAAGUAAUUUGAAUCUCCAUUCUUCCCCUCUGUUUUCUCUUUGUUGGAUGGCUGCUUUAAUGUUCCAGUUGUCUGGAUUUGAGUCUGUACUGGUGACACCUAGCCAGCAUCCACAGUGUGAGGACUGGGCGGGGCAUGUCAGUGGUAUCCCGAAGAACUGGGAGUUCUGCAGUUCUUACUGGCAUGCUUCACCGCCCUCACUCCAUUUGUUCAGCAAUCUAAAGGCAACAGUGUAUAUUGAAAACCAAGGUUCUCCUUGUUUAGGUUCUCUGCCUUGGCCCUACCGCCAGGCUUCCUCACUCAAAUGUCAUCAAUAAGAACAGGAGUGCCCAAGCCUGAUUUCUCUUCUGUCCAUUCAUUUUACAUAUAUGAGCAUUUUUAAUUUUACCUCUUAAACAGAUAUCUUAAUUUUUGCAGAGAAAUUUUUUUUAAAAAGUUUUUAGGCAGUGUUGGCAAAGGCAUUGUUUUUAACUUGCUGGAACAUGAAAAGGGACUUUUUGCAUCAUUCCCAAAUAACAUGCUUUCUCUCACUGUACUUAACUGCUACACAUUAAAUAGAGAUAUUCCUCAUUUCUAUAACUUCAAAUAAACUAUAACUAUGUGUUCACAGAAAAAAUAAUCCAUAGACAUAUGGAACAUUUUCAAGUAAUUAUUUUUCAAAAAGUAGAAAAGCAUGCAGCUUUUCAUAAAAGGACAACUCAGCAUAUAUUUAAGAUAA